rnacentral:lncRNA from 1 species
AGGGUUGGCCACCUUGAGAAGCUGCGAAGAUGGCGGAGUAAGGCGUGCCGCUGCAAACUGGCCUCUGGGCCGGGGGCGAGCAGCCCCCGGGAGGCCGAGUGCAUCUGUUGGACCGUGCGAGGAGAAGAAAAAAAAUAUCGGCCAGAGGAGAGGAACUAACCGAACAUUCUUCCUCCCUACCUUAUAGAGGGGAGUGGUCAUCUACACUAAAGCAAAGUGUUAGGCGCGUCCGUGCGAAGAGACCACCAAACAGGCUUUGUGUUCCUUAUCACAGGAAGAAAAUUUUCCUUGACCUUUAGGUGCUUUUAUAUUCAUCUCAAAAACAAAAUUCUGAACUCAGGACUUGGCAAGUAAGUAAUUGUGGGCUAAUCGUUCCAAAUACUGUUUAAGUAGCUUGAAAACAGGUACAUAGAAGUGGAACAAUAAGCCGUUAGCUUCAGCAGAAGACGAACAUGAAAAAUGACUGUAAGCUAUUGAAAUUUAAGUUAAAUCUUUUAUUUUUCAACAAAAGAAAUGUAUUAAAUAAAAAGGAGUAAUCUUGAUCAUUUGCUCAAACUACCAAUAAUUUUCACUGUCUAAAGAAAACAGACACAUAUUUAAUUAGAUUGAAGGAAAUCAAAUGAUUAAAAAAUAGGCCUGGCCCGGUGGCUCACGCCUGUAAUCCCAGCAGUUUGGGAGGCCGAGGCUGGUCUCAAACUCUUGACUUAAUCCCAAAGUGCUGGGAUUACAGGCAUAUGCCACUGCGCCUGGCCAAGAUCUCAUUCUUUUUUAGGGCUGAGUAACAUAUGCCAUCAUAUAUAUGCACU